AGUUUUGUGUAUUCAUGCUGAGAUUUCAUCAGAUAUCAAACAACCACGGCUGAUAAAACCGCCAAAAUAAAUUAAGUA
rnacentral:pre_miRNA from 1 species